rnacentral:lncRNA from 1 species
CACAGGCCGCGUAAGGGCCUGAUCCGGACCGCAGCCGUCUCGAUGUUCCAUCAUUCUCAGGCGCUGUCACCCAGAGGCUCUCAAACAAGCUGUGUCAUUUCAAGGGCUUAGCACUAAGCAGAUUUACCGCAAGGCCAUAAUCACGAAGAAGAAAAUGAAAAUAUCUGUGAUUAAAGGUGCCGAGAAACUCUCCACUUUCGUUCUUCUUUUUAUUAGUCUUUUAGGUAUUGUCGUCUUCCACUGUGAAUAAAAUUUCCUGUAGCAACCGGCAGCCAGGAGGCCUGGGUCUCCAGUUAGAACUGGUUUGCCUUAAAGGAUGGAACAUUUUGACUCUGUCAAUUUUACUGCUUUUGGCACGGAGCGCUGGUUCUCUCUGCAAUGUAAACUCGAAGUCGUGGCUCCAGAAAGAUUUUCUGACAGCGGAGCGGUCCCUGCCGCUGGUACGCAGGGGCCGGAGCUCACCCGGACUUUCCCUUUCGGUUUACUAGUGCCGUCAACUAAGGCUUGUGAAGUUCUGUCGGCUUGUGAUGCUGCUCCAGAUGUUAGCUUCACCUUCCAUUCGGGAAAAGAUGCCAGAGCUUUUCUUUUGGGAUAUUCUUAUUUGUAAACUAUUUGCUAAAGAUAAUAACACAGGAAUUUGCCAACGAGCGAUGCUUAAGGAAUGGUUGAUAGAAUGGUUUAGUUAAUUGAGGGUUCUGGAAAAGAAGUUUGGCAUAAUCAUUCAAACCAAUUUUCAAAGUAUUAGAGUUCCAGACAUAGCAAAAUUGGGCCAAAACCCAUGCAACCAUUCCAUGAGGAAAUCAGGACACAUUUGAGGAGCCUGUUGUCAAAACAGCUCCUCAUGCACAUGAGUGGAGCUGUGGAGCCAGCGGACGCAGUGAGGCAGAGGGUUCACUCUGGCAGCAACUUGGAAGAGCUUCUGCUUGAUCCGGCCUCAGAAGCCACUGAGAAGCUUCUGCUUUCGGGACUGGGCAAGAGGGCGGUGUAGACAUACGCUUUGCUACCGGUGCUGCUGGCGGCGGGAUCGCUCAGGGUGUCUGUUCCCAGCACAGCCUGUGCUGUGCCAUAGGAGGAUGGGAAGCCUCCAGCUUUGGUAAUGACAUCCUGCUGAGACAGGGAGUCUCCCGAUGCCAACAGAAAACGCCGCGAGAAGCUGCCAGGGUGGGGAUUUUCAGAAGGCAUCAAAGCUCGUCCUUCUCCAGCAUCUCAUUUUACUGUGACUCGAUUUUAAAGGGUCAAGUUUACAAUGCAUAUUUUCCUCUGUCACAAUCCAAACCUUUUCCUCUUCAGUUGUGAGCUCUAGCAAAAGGAAGGCGUCCACUGGGCCGGCCUCGUGGCCGAGUGGGUAAAGUUCCACACUCUCCAGUUCGGUGGCCCAGGUUCUCAGGCCUGGAUCCCGGGUGCAGACCUACUCCACUCAUCAGCUAUGCUGUGGAGGCAUCCCACAUACAAAAAAAAUGGAAGAAGAUUGGCACCAAUGUUAUCUCAGGGGUAAUCUUCCUCAAGUGGAAAAAAAAAAAACAAAGAGGAAAAUUGGCAAGGGUGUUAGCUCACGGAAAAUCUUCCUCACCAAAAAAAAAAAAAAAAAAAAAAAAAGGGAGUCCUGUCCCAUUACAGACCUGUGAGGUCCCAGGACCUGAACCUGAACAGCGACUCAUGCACUUCAUGGGACACACGGAGUGUUUUCCCACAUGUACCACAGACAGAUGCGCACAAAGAAUCCAGGAACUCCGUUUCCUCAGAGCCAACGCUGUCUUCCUAGGGUAUCUUCCUGCCUUCCUCAGUAAUGACUGGGAGCUGUUUCCUCUCCUGGGAGAAGGAGAAAAACCUACAUUGUUGAAUGCCUUUAAUGGGCCAUGUCCCAUGUGAGAUGCUUUCAAAGGAUUGUCACGCUUAUUCCUCGGAGAAUUGUCUCACUCUCUUCACAGAAGUCUUUUGCCUUGGGAGUUAUUUCUAUUGUUCAGACUCAGAGAGGUUAAGCAACUUAUUCAAGGUCAGACAGCUAAAGGAUGAAACCAGGAUUCAAACUCAGGUCUUUUUGACCACAUGCCUACCACCUCUGUGGGCCUUCUCAAACCUCUAGCCCAGAAAAUAAUUUUGCCCCACUCUUCUCCUCCACAUGCCAUGCACAAGAUGUUCUUAGCUUCUUCUGAAAAGCUGAGUUAUGAAGACAAAAGAAAGGCCCUUCUUUACAACUGGGACAAAUAAGACUUCCACUACUUCAAGAGUUGAUGUGAGAUCCCAAACUCAUCUUCAGACUCUCUUUUCCCCAACUUCUGCUUUCCACGAAAUCUGAACUGCCAUGUGGAAGGAAAUUCAUCAGAGUGACUUAGUUUUGGCCCUCCAGAAGCAGACCCUGAGACAAGGAUUUGAGCGUGAGGGUUCAUUUGAGAGGUGAACCUGAGAAACAUGAGAAGGGGAUCCAGGGAGGGACACAGGAACAGGAAGGAUGUCAAUCAAGGGUGUGUUGUCAAUCAAGGUCAUCACAUUGGUGACAUCCUGUAACAUUUCGUGGAUUUCUGGUUCAGAUUUUUUGUUUCAACGACGACCUUGUGACUGAUGCAGUCAGUGAAUGUCACAGGGACAGCCAGCAUCCAGGGACUGAUCAGUUGGGGGUAUGAAGACCCUUGCCCCAUCUUGGGACCACUCCGAGGGGCCGUCGCAGCUUCAGAGCUCCCCACAGGGCGGACUGAGGCUUUGCUGGGAAUCCAUCACAGAUCAACUGCUCCUUCCGCCCAGUCCUGCUUCCCUCCCCUUCCUCUCCAAGAGAACUCCUUCAUAAUCGCCCCUCACACCGGCUCUGCGCAGAAGCUGCUUCCAGAAAAUCAACCUGCCAUGUAGAUGCUGCUAAUGCCUGACGUUCUCACUGGCGGUUCCAGUGAUUUCGCUCAAUAUUCCUGUUAAUGACCUGGCGGAUGAAGUGAACGGCAGUGCGGAGAAACUGGCUGAUGACACAAGCGUUUAGGCAUGUGCAUAGGAUCCAGCAGACAACCAGAGCCAGAGAGGUGAUGGAACUGUGAAAUGGAAGGAGCUCUGAUCCCUGAAUGACUGCACAGACUGGCAGGCCGCCCUCCUGGGAGGAGACCGAGCUCUGGGCCACUUGAUGGAUGUGACUGUGUUUGUGAAUUCAGGCUGGCCUGCUGUCUUCGUGGAUCUGACCCUUGGACUGUAAGUUCUGCGUGGCUAGGAAUCAUGACGGUCUCGACCACCUCUGAUUCUCAGUGUGUGGCACAGGCGAUCAACAAACACGAAUGAACGGAGACAGCAUGACAAUCCUGCCCCAGCUUCCUGUAAGAAGAGCAGGCCGCAGGAUUGUGAGUGCCUCUCGGCCUCGGUCUGCAGCAUGCCUGUCCUGCACAGAGCUCCCUGCUAGCCUUGCAGCUCUCCCGUCCUCUCCUGCUCUGGCCCGGGACGCCUCGAACACUCAUUAGGGUUUCUUUAAUCUACUCUGGCAAGCUGCCUGCUGAAACAUCACCCUGAGAAAUGAAGUACAGGCAAACCCGAGAAGGAGAGGCAGGGCUGGGUGGAAGGGUGGGCUAGAUCCAGAGAACAGAUGGUCCAGAGAUAGCCCGGUCUGCAUUCCCAGGCCUGGCAGCACAGCACAGCUGAAGGGAAAGCAAUGAAGAGUGCAAGGAAUCAGCAAAAGGCCAAAGUUACAGAGAGGGAGAUCCAGGCAAUGUGGUAUGCCACUUCACAGAAGGCACCACCUAUCUGCCUGAUGUGGGGUCAGAGCUAACAGUAAUAAUAACUAAGAUUGAUGGAACUCCUACUAUAUGUACUGAGCAGAGUAUCCUUCUCAUGGGAAUAGUUGACUGGCACUAGGGGCUGGUCAUUGUCAGAGGUUAGAGGUCAGAGAUGUGAGGGCAUGAUGGCCAGGAUGCUAUGAUUGCUGGAGAACUAGGAAGGCCCCAGUUCUCUGUCAGCUGGUCCUCCCCCCAUGAGGUUUGACUGUGGUAGUAACACAUGGGGAAAGUGUGUGAUGGCACACAGGAACUAUGGCAGGACGACAACCAAAAAUACCACUUUAUUGUUAUUUCUCAAUUGCCCCCAACACCGUGCUCACUGGCUGAACCGGAUGGGAGCCUGAGGUUUAGAUUUAAGGCCAGACAGAACUACUGAUCCACCAUGAAGACCCUCCCCCGCCAAAAAAGAAUUAAAAUGAGAGGACUAGCAAUGUCUGCAGGGAGACAAAGCUCUGAGAGCACGCCCUCAGCUGACCGCCAAGGCGAGCAGGAGGGAGACUGCCCCAGUGCACACCGCAUCAUACUGGCGAUCACGCA